rfam:Triticum urartu cultivar G1812 contig552389, whole genome shotgun sequence.
AAUCUAGUUCCUCCGUUUCGAAUUACUUAUUGCAGGUAUGGAUGUAUCUAGAUUUAUUUUAGUUCUAGAUACAUCCAUUUCUGCGACGAGUAAUUUGAAACGGAGGGAGUAGAUA